UUGUGUGUCCCGUGCACACCGUGUGUGUGCAGCCCAAGAGAGUUUGCCUGAGAACUGCCCCAGUCCUGAACCACUGCUGUGGGCAACCCAGGCAAGGAGAUGGGCACAGCCCCAGACAGAGCAGGGACUGCGGAACCCCUGCCGUGCUGAAUCAGCGCUGUGUGCGAUGGUGACCAGGGUAAAAGGUGUGUCUGGGGGAUUCAAGGGGUGGUCACAGAAGGAAACACUGCAGUGCAGACGUUUCCUGGCCCUGAGGAUCAGUUCCCAAGAUCUGGAGUACAUCUUUGUGUGCUGUAAAAUGUUACUGUAUCUAAAUGCAAUUUGUCAUUCUUGAAUUGUGUGACAUGGUAAUGACUAUGGAAAUGAUGAAAAGUCAGGUUUGGCACCCGUUUGAUAGGUAUAUCCUUAAUGCAUACAUAAGCUGAGAUAAGCUCAAACAACGGCUGUCUUGCUUUAGUCCUUUGCAGGACAUCUUGUUUCUAUUCAGGUGGCUGCAAUGAAACGAGGCUGGCUCCAAUGUGCCAUCAGGGUGCAGAGGCUUCCCUGGGACUCCCUCCUGCCAUGCAUCAUUGAUGUGUGAUGCUAAAGCUGUUUGCAUAGAGCACAUGGGAACCAGACCUGAGCAAGGAAGGUCAAAGUGAAGUGAAAGCAGCAGAGCUCAUCUCAAGCUUUGUUCACAGUUCUGCAACAGGAGCAUAAGUGGAAAUUGGGAUGGUUGUUAGGACCUUGCUCCUUUCCGAUGUGAAAAUUGUGCAAUGAGGAAUAACACUUUAAAGAAUCUGGUGUUCUCUCUUGUAAGAGAAACGAAUCCAGGAAUCCCAUUCAAAGACCGUAUCUCUCAGUGCAUUGUUCUGCUCAGAAACAUUAUUGUCUGCGUUUUUGUUUUUCUUCUUUCCAGAGCUCUGUGGAGAAAGUGGUGGCUGGCUCUGUCUCCGUUCCUCAGGUGGUCCCAUUUGGAAUCCCUCUUCCAGGGAAGGCUAACCAUGAAGGAGAUACAAAUGCUCUUGUAGAAAUGAAAUCAGGUCUGAGUAAGAGCUCUGAAUCCAGGUGGCACCAUGUCUUGAAUGCAGACAUCUGCUGCCAGUGACUACACCCGCUUGCAUUGGAUGGGAGUCACCAAUAGCUCCACAGGUGCAGCCCCAAACCAACAUCUGCAUAAAGACAGUGGACUUGCUGCUUUGUGUGAGUGCAGUGGCUAAGCGAACUGGCACUAGUCUAUAGAAACACCUGGAGGUAUUGAUGCUGGAUCUGCUGAGGGAACUGUACCAUAGCUUAAAAUGAACUGUCACCAAGAUCCAUGGAUUUGUGAUGGGCAGGCACUAUGGCCUAACUAAAACUGAAGCCCACAGCACAGGCUGGAAAGAUCUCUUCUAUCUGCAGGGGUGAAUAAGCACAGCACUUUGUAAGAUCAAGUCCUCUUCUUAUUAGUGUUGUUCACAGUUUGCAGAUACCAUGUGAAAUGCAUUCUUUCUCUACUUAAAAGGGCAAAGUAAUUUGUCAGGCAUGUGGCACAGGAAAUCUUCACCAUAAACACUGUGUGACUUGUGCAAGCAAGCUGCCUGAAAUACAGACGUUGAGGCUUCUUGCAUCAAUCACUGUAGGGUUAAUCAAAUGAAAGCACAACAUUCUUUUUCUCUGGAAAACUGAAGUCAUAGCCCUGUGUCCCUGUUAUAAAAGCAGAGAUGCCCUCCCUCAUGGGCUAUUCAAGGCCCGUACUCCCACAGAUCAUCCAUCACAAAUGUCCAGCUCAACAGAAGCGUACCUUUGAGUUCCUCCUGUGGAAGUCAGGACUGUGUGUGCCACUGUGAAAGCUGAGAAGGCUCUUAGAAAAUGGGUAGUCUUGGCUCCA